CUGACGGAGGAGGGACAUUA
rnacentral:rRNA from 1 species